GGUUGCUAGGCAGGUGUCCCCUUCCUUCCCUACCAUUCCACAUGCAUUCCUAUGGAAGCUGUGCGCUCUCUCGAAGAGGACAACCUUCACCAAUGCAGGAGGACCAUUCUUCCAUCAAGUGUAUAUGAGUAGCUGUGCUCCCCGGCUAGAACCUCCAAACAAGCUCUCAUCUGAGUUUUUAUAUAAUUUUAAAAUGAAAGGCAUAAGGAUGAUAAAGCAGGAGAGAGCUAUAACGUGCAUGGGCCUGAGUGUAAGACAGAGUGGCAGGAUGA
rnacentral:sRNA from 1 species